GAUGAACGCUGGCGGCGUGCCUAAUACAUGCGAGUCGAGCGAACAGACGAGGAGCUUGCUCCUCUGACGUUAGCGGCGGACGGGUGAGUAACACGUGGAUAACCUACCUAUAAGACUGGGAUAACUUCGGGAAACCGGAGCUAAUACCGGAUAAUAUAUUGAACCGCAUGGUUCAAUAGUGAAAGACGGUUUUGCUGUCACUUAUAGAUGGAUCCGCACCGCAUUAGCUAGUUGGUAAGGUAACGGCUUACCAAGGCAACGAUGCGUAGCCGACCUGAGAGGGUGAUCGGCCACACUGGAACUGAGACACGGUCCAGACUCCUACGGGAGGCAGCAGUAGGGAAUCUUCCGCAAUGGGCGAAAGCCUGACGGAGCAACGCCGCGUGAGUGAUGAAGGUCUUCGGAUCGUAAAACUCUGUUAUUAGGGAAGAACAAAUGUGUAAGUAACUAUGCACGUCUUGACGGUACCUAAUCAGAAAGCCACGGCUAGCUACGUG
rnacentral:rRNA from 1 species